CCCUGCCAUUUGUACACACCGCCCGUCGCUCCUACCGAUUGGAUGUGCUGGUGAAGUGUUCGGAUUGGUUUUUUGUGGCGGUUUCCGCUGCUUUGGACCGAGAAGUUCAUUAAACCCUCCCAUCUAGA
rnacentral:rRNA from 1 species